rnacentral:rRNA from 1 species
CCUACGGGAGGCAGCAGUGGGGAAUUUUGGACAAUGGGCGCAAGCCUGAUCCAGCUAUUCCGCGUGUGGGAAGACGGCCUUCGGGUUGUAAACCACUUUUGUAGAGAACGAAAAGUCUAUUGAUAAUACCGAUAGAUGAUGACGGUACUCUAAGAAUAAGCACCGGCUAACUACGUGCCAGCAGCCGCGGUAAUACGUAGGGUGCGAGCGUUAAUCGGAUUUACUGGGCGUAAAGGGUGUGCAGGCGGUUUUGCAAGAUGGAUGUGAAAGCCCCGGGCUUAACCUGGGAAAGCCAUACAUGACUGCAAGGCUAGAGUGCGUCAGAGGGGGGUGGAAUUCCAAGUGUAGCAGUGAAAUGCGUAGAUAUUUGGAAGAACACCGAUGGCGAAGGCAGCCCCCUGGGACGCAACUGACGCUCAUACACGAAAGCGUGGGGAGCAAACAGGAUUAGAUACCCCUGUAGUC